GUUGUGGAUUACAAACUGAUAUUUCCUCUUUUAAUGAACCUUUAGCUGCAGGUGUCUUGAAAUAUCUCCCCACAACAGGCAAGUGAGAGAGAUAGGACUAACUAUGUAUUCAAGAUCAGCAGCAAGAGGAUUUCUAGCUUUCCUCCUGUCAUUACCAGCGCUACAGGGUAAAAUUGGUUGGGCAGUUACUUACACAUCUAGUAAUAUCAGCGCCUUAAGAGGAUCAACAGUUAAUAUCAGCUGUAUCUAUAGAUACCCUUACGGCCGAUAUUUCCGCCCUACCAACGUCACAACACUGUGGUUUACUAAAGGAGAGAUCGAGCUGCCAGUUAACCUGAAACAUGAUGCUGACUAUGCAGGACGUGUUGAAUACAGCGAUGGAGAGAUAAGCUGUAACUGGUUCAGUUGUAAGGGAACUUGUACUCUGCGAAUCAAAGACCUGACACAGAGUGACUCUGCUGAGUACAAGUUCAUGUUCAUAACAAACAUAGAAAGAGGGAAAUUUACUGGUGACCCUGGAGUCAUGCUAUCUGUCACAGAGACAUCGCCUUCAUCAUCAUCACUGACAACAUCAGUCAAUGUCAGAAUCGUUGUGGUUUCAUUGGCCACAGUACUCCUUGUUUUUCUUUUCAUUAGAAGAAAAAGGGCUGACAGAGAAGCAUCGGGCCAGGGGAAAGCAGCAGAGAAGGUUGGCGAGGUGGAGGAGGAGCAGAGGGACAGAAAUUAAGACUUUUGACUCAACCA